AGCUUCUUAAGGUGGAACUGAGGUGAUAGAAUUCAGACAUUUCUUAUUUUCUAAUAUAAACAUUCAAAGCUAGAGAUUUUCCUCUAAUGUAUCCCAUAGAUUUUGGGCUGGUCUAAGUGCUCUUCCUUUGUGUUUUACUGGUAUGCUGUGCCAGGGCUGCUAUGACUGUGGAAUUGGUGUUCUGCAUAAAGAUAGUAAUAGAAAGACAGACAUCAAUCAGUUGCCUCCAGUA